rnacentral:rRNA from 1 species
AAAGCUCGUAGUUGAAUUUCGGGAUCAAAUUGUUGGUCGUGCUUCGGUACGCACUGGCAUUAUUGGUUCCUACCUUCUGAAGAACCGCGAUGUCAUUAAUUUGGUGUCGUGGGGAAUCAGGACUGUUACUUUGAAAAAAUUAGAGUGUUUAAAGCAGGCGUACGCUUGAAUACAUUAGCAUGGAAUAAUGAAAUAGGACGUUUGAUUCUAUUUUGUUGGUUUCUAGGAUCGACGUAAUGAUUAAUAGGGAUAGUUGGGGGCAUUAGUAUUCAAUUGUCAGAGGUGAAAUUCUUGGAUUUAUUGAAGACUAACUACUGCGAAAGCAUUUGCCAAGGAUGUUUUCAUUAAUCAAGAACGAAAGUUAGGGGAUCGAAGACGAUCAGAUACCGUCGUAGUCUUAACCAUAAACUAUGCCGACUAGGGAUCGGAUGAUGUUAAUUUUUUAAUGACUCAUUCGGCACCU